AAGGAGUCUAACAUGCUUGCGAGUAUUUGGGUGUCAAACCCGGAUGCGUAAUGAAAGUGAAUGGAGGUGGGAAGCGCAAGCUGCACCAUCGACCGAUCUGGAUUUUCUAAGAUGGAUUUGAGUAAGAGCACGUAUGUUGGGACCCGAAAGAUGGUGAACUAUGCCUGAAUAGGGCGAAGCCAGAGGAAACUCUGGUGGAGGCUCGUAGCGGUUCUGACGUGCGAAUCGAUCGUCAAAUUUGGGUAUAGGGGCGAAAGACUAAUCGAACCAUCUAGUAGCUGGUUCCUGC
rnacentral:misc_RNA from 1 species